UGUUAAAAUUUUUAUCUAUUUGUACUGUUAAAAAUUGGCAUAACUAACAAAAUAACUAGAGAAUGAUACGUGACGUACUACGUAUACCUCAUGUUGAUGUACAAUAACCAAUAUUUAACUAAAAAAUAGAUGAAAUUUUUAACU
rnacentral:pre_miRNA from 1 species